UGGGGAAUAUUGCGCAAUGGGCGAAAGCCUGACGCAGCGACGCCGCGUGGGGGAUGACGCUUUUCGGAGUGUAAACCCCUUUCGAUCGGGACGAAUGCCUCGCAAGAGGAGUGACGGUACCGGUAGAAGAAGCCCCGGCUAACUACGUGCCAGCAGCCGCGGUAAUACGUAGGGGGCCAGCGUUGCUCGGAAUAACUGGGCGUAAAGGGUUCGUAGGCGGUGCGGCAAGUUGGGAGUGAAAUCUCUGGGCUUAACCCAGAGACUGCUUUCAAAACUGCCGUGCUAGAGUGCGGGAGAGGCCAGUGGAAUUGCAGGUGUAGCGGUGAAAUGCGUAGAUAUCUGCAGGAACACCCGUGGCGAAGGCGGCUGGCUGGACCGCAACUGACGCUGAGGAACGAAAGCUAGGGGAGCAAACAGGAUUAGAUACCCCCGUAGUCC
rnacentral:rRNA from 1 species